AGAUUCCGGACCAUGCGGUUGGUUCUGACGUCAUUCCCUUCAGCUAGUCAGAGCCCGUAAUUAGUCUAAUUUGAUUCACCUGUAACCAUAACCCAUGGAAACAAUGUCGACAUUAAAGGACAGUGUUGGAUUCCCCUCCACUUUAAACAGGCCGAGAAGAUUCCAUUUAAUAGCUAACAAGAUGAGGCUGUCGCACCAGUAAUCCUCCAUCCCCUGCUCCAUCAGAAGGAUCGUUCCUGUGGAUGUCUGGACAUUGUUUUGACCUCAUCUCUUCCUCCAUGUUGUCACAGAAGGCUUUUAGCACUUUCCUCUCUUGUCACGCUGUUGGAACUUCCUCAGCCGGCGGCCCCACAGGUCUUUCCACGGGAUGAGAAGGCUCCCCUUGUCCGCCACCACGCCGCUCUGCCCGGGGGAGUCGUCGUCUGUACCCAGCAGCAGAGCGAUGUCAAAGGUCGGAGCCUGAGGAGUUGAAGUGCCUUGCUCAUGGUUACUUCAGGAUGACAGAGGAUUAAACUACCUGAAUAGUCUGGUUUCCUCCUGCCUGUACCAGUGUCUCCUCUCUGUCUCUCUGAGCUGCUGUCAUGCAAAGCUGUUGGAGAGAGUAGCAGUGCGUGCUGCACAGACUGGGAGCGGAGCCAGCAGGCAAUUGAUACAAUCAUAUCCUAAUUCAGCUACCUUGUGGGUGGCAAACAUGUCGGCUCUUCCUCACAAAGACUUCUGUGUAGGUUUAAUAAAAUAAAUACUCUGAGCAGAGCAUAAAAACUGCUCUUUAGGACAGAUAGUAACUGACUAUGAUCCGAGAUUUACAGAUUUGUUCUUGUUUUUCUUUCAUAUCAAAUACAUCUAAAGUCAGAUAAUUGUCUGGCAACUGUAAGAAUAAACUCUGAAACCAUG